rnacentral:tRNA from 1 species
GGGCGAGUGGUGGAAUGGUAGACACGCUAGUCUUAGGAACUAGUGCCGCAAGGUGUAGGGGUUCAACUCCCCUCUUGCCCA